UACAGAGGGGGCAAGCGUUGUUCGGAAUUACUGGGCGUAAAGGGCGCGUAGGCGGCCUGCUAAGUCGAACGUGAAAUCCCCGAGCUCAACUCGGGAACUGCGUCCGAUACUGGCAGGCUUGAAUCCGGGAGAGGGAUGCGGAAUUCCAGGUGUAGCGGUGAAAUGCGUAGAUAUCUGGAGGAAGACCGGUGGCGAAGGCGGUCUGCUGGGCAGUUUCUGACACUGAGGCGCGACAGCGUGGGGAGCAAACAGG
rnacentral:rRNA from 1 species